CCUACGGGUGGCAGCAGUCGAGAAUCAUUCACAAUGGGGGAAACCCUGAUGGUGCGACGCCGCGUGGGGGAAUGAAGGUCUUCGGAUUGUAAACCCCUGUCAUGUGGGAGCAAAUUAAAAAGAUAGUACCACAAGAGGAAGAGACGGCUAACUCUGUGCCAGCAGCCGCGGUAAUACAGAGGUCUCAAGCGUUGUUCGGAAUCACUGGGCGUAAAGCGUGCGUAGGCUGUUUCGUAAGUCGUGUGUGAAAGGUGCGGGCUCAACCCGCGGACGGCACAUGAUAAUGGGAGACUAGAGUAAUGGAGGGGGAACCGGAAUUCUCGGUGUAGCAGUGAAAUGCGUAGAUAUCGAGAGGAACACUCGUGGCGAAGGCGGGUUCCUGGACAUUAACUGACGCUGAGGCACGAAGGCCAGGGGAGCGAAAGGGAUUAGAUACCCGGGUAGUC
rnacentral:rRNA from 1 species